rnacentral:tRNA from 1 species
GGCCAGGUAGCUCAGCUGGUAGAGCACGUGACUGAAAAUCACGGUGUCCCCAGUUCGACUCUGGGCCUGGCCACCA